rnacentral:lncRNA from 1 species
GGGGCUCCGGGGCGGCUGGGAAUGGGGAGGGACAGCCGGGACCGGUGAGGGUCGAGGCGGGGCCACCGGGGCUGGCAGAGGAUGGGGCAGAAUCACCGGAAGCGGCCGAGGAGUAGGUGUCUCCAAACAGGACAUACGUGAACAAAUUUGGGGCUACAUGGAAUCACAAAAUUUAGCUGACUUUCCCCGACCUGUUCAUCACAGGAUACCCAACUUUAAGGGCGCUUCUCAUGCUGCCGAGCAACUCCCACGCUUGCAGGCGUUCAAAACGGCCAGGACCAUUAAAGUAAAUCCUGAUGCCCCCCAGAAAAGUGCUCGCUUCUUCGUCCUUGAAAGCAAAAAAACAUUGUUGGUUCCAACACCACGACUGAGAACGGGAUUGUUUAAUAAGAUCACACCACCCCCUGGGGCAACUAAAGACAUCUUGAGAAAAUGUGCCACCUCUCAGGGUGUGAGGAACUACAGUGUCCCCAUAGGCUUGGACUCCAGAGUC